AUGGGGAAGAGAAAGGCGGCUGCUAAGCCACCACCUAGGAAGAGGAUGGACAAGCUCGAUACCGUCUUCUCCUGCCCAUUCUGCAACCAUGGGAGCAGCGUUGAGUGCCGGAUUGAUUUGAAGAAUCUGAUUGGUGAGGCUAACUGUCAAAUCUGCCAGGAAAGCUUCAGCACCACUGCAAAUGCGCUGACUGAACCUAUUGAUGUAUACAGCGAAUGGAUCGAUGAGUGCGAGCGCGUCAACACUGUUGAAGAUGAUGAUGGUGCAUGA
rnacentral:rRNA from 1 species